rnacentral:rRNA from 1 species
AGUGAACGCUGGCGGUAGGCCUAACACAUGCAAGUCGAACGGCAGCACAGUAAGAUCUUGCUCUUACGGGUGGCGAGUGGCGGGCGGGUGAGGAAUACAUCGGAAUCUACUUUUUCGUGGGGGAUAACGUAGGGAAACUUACGCUAAUACCGCAUACGACCUACGGGUGAAAGCAGGGGAUCUUCGGACCUUGCGCGAUUGAAUGAGCCGAUGUCGGAUUAGCUAGUUGGCGGGGUAAAGGCCCACCAAGGCGACGAUCCGUAGCUGGUCUGAGAGGAUGAUCAGCCACACUGGAACUGAGACACGGUCCAGACUCCUACGGGAGGCAGCAGUGGGGAAUAUUGGACAAUGGGCGCAAGCCUGAUCCAGCCAUACCGCGUGGGUGAAGAAGGCCUUCGGGUUGUAAAGCCCUUUUGUUGGGAAAGAAAAGCAGCAGGUUAAUACCCCGCUGUUCUGACGGUACCCAAAGAAUAAGCACCGGCUAACUUCGUG